UAAGGUAGACGUGAAAUCAUUAGUAGUCGAGUUAGAACAAGAUAAAGUGAUAGAACAUAGGUAACUAAACGAAGAGAAAUAUAGAAAUCGAGAAAGGUGAGGUUUAAUGGACAGUGACGUUGGUAUACCAACUAACGCCGCGUAAGGUGAUACAGUGUGUACGAAAUUAGUGUGAUAAUAAGUACAAAAAGAAAGAUAAAUGUACGGAAGGUGACAAAAACAUUUUAUUGCCUUAACGAUCAACGUCGAUCUAUGAUUGAUCAACGUUGACCAACGAGGCUUCUCUAACGCGUUUCGGAUCAUAACGCUUUGCGUUUUAACAUUUACACAUUUUUUGUCGUUGUGAUAAUUGUCGAAAGAAAGGCUACACGAAUGACAGAACACGCACGAGACGACGAACCUAACCUCAGGGAGGAGCGUGCUACUCCACCGCGUAGGAUUCGUCACCGGUGGUUUCAGGAAAUUCUGUACGAGCACGAAGAGGAACCCCCUUGGUGGUGGUGGUUGUGGUGGUGGCGACAGUGGUGGGGUUGGUGGUCCUCCCUUUUAACAAAGGCGAGGAAUCGUCUCGGUCGUAGACCUCUUCACGGUAACGAGAAGGAAAAACCAGAGGAGUCACAACCAAGGAUCUCCUCCUCUUCCUCUACGAGCGAAGAAGAGAUCGUUCAUAUCGUUGAACCUUCUUCUGGUGAUAAUAGGGAAGACAACUUCGAGAUGUCCGAAACGACGCCGGUUAGCUUCGUCGUCGGGGAACCCGACCCAGACGCCGAAGAGGAGUUGGAGAUUGGCGAUAGUUUUCCCAUUGAUGGAAACGAUGGGAACAGCCUUCAAGGUCAACAAUUCUCCAUCCCUCCAGGCUUGGUUGAACGACGUAAACGACUCAGACCCAGCAUGUCGCAGGGUACGGUGAUGAUUCAGACACAAAAUCGAUUGCAAGAGAAAGACUUCACCGUUGCGACACCCGAAGAAUUCGUACAUCGUUUUGGUGGCACCAAGGUUAUCAACAAGGUUUUAAUAGCUAACAAUGGAAUCGCUGCAGUCAAAUGUAUGCGGUCGAUACGACGAUGGUCUUACGAGAUGUUUAAGAACGAAAGAGCGGUACGUUUCGUGGUCAUGGUCACGCCGGAAGAUCUCAAAGCUAACGCGGAAUAUAUCAAAAUGGCUGAUCAAUAUGUUCCCGUACCUGGUGGAACAAACAAUAACAAUUAUGCGAACGUCGAGCUCAUCGUGGAUAUCGCAACGAGGACGCAGGUGCAGGCUGUUUGGGCUGGAUGGGGUCACGCAUCAGAAAAUCCUAAAUUACCAGAGUUACUGCAUAAGAAUAAUAUCUCUUUUAUAGGUCCAUCCGAGAGAGCUAUGUGGGCUUUAGGUGAUAAGAUAGCUUCGAGUAUUGUCGCUCAAACAGCAGAUGUUCCUACGUUACCUUGGUCGGGAUCUGAAUUGAAAGCUCAAUAUAGUGGCAAGAAGAUAAAGAUAUCGACCGAAUUGUUCAAGAAAGGUUGUGUUUCCACCGUCGAGGAAUGUCUUGCCGCGGCUAAUAAAAUUGGUUUUCCGAUUAUGGUGAAAGCUAGCGAAGGUGGCGGCGGUAAGGGUAUUAGAAAAUGCGAAAACGCGGAAGAGUUGCCCGCCUUGUUUAGACAAGUGCAAGGCGAGAUACCGGGUUCACCGAUAUUUAUCAUGAAAAUGGCGAAAUGUGCUCGCCAUUUAGAGGUUCAAUUAUUAGCCGAUAAUUACGGUAAUGCAAUAUCGUUGUUCGGCCGUGAUUGCUCUAUCCAAAGAAGACAUCAGAAAAUAAUAGAAGAGGCACCAGCGGUAAUAGCCAAGCCUGAAGUCUUCGAAGAGAUGGAGAAAGCUGCUGUGAGAUUAGCAAAAAUGGUCGGAUAUGUCAGUGCGGGUACCGUUGAAUAUUUAUACGACACUUCUGGCCGUUAUUAUUUUUUGGAAUUGAAUCCUAGACUUCAAGUGGAACAUCCGUGUACCGAGAUGGUAUCGGACGUUAAUCUGCCCGCUGCACAACUUCAAGUGGCGAUGGGAUUGCCUCUUCAUCAUAUCAAAGAUAUACGUCUCCUUUAUGGCGAGAGUCCUUGGGGAGACAGUCAAAUAGAUUUCGAUCAGUUACGUCAUAAACCACAACCUUGGGGACAUGUGAUAGCUGCUAGAAUUACCAGUGAAAAUCCUGACGAAGGUUUCAAACCGAGUUCUGGUACCGUACAAGAAUUGAACUUUAGAUCGUCGAAGAACGUUUGGGGUUAUUUUUCUGUCGGAGCAUCGGGUGGUCUUCACGAGUUCGCAGAUUCUCAAUUCGGCCAUUGUUUUUCCUGGGGGGAAGAUCGUUAUCAAGCUCGAGAGAAUUUGGUGAUAGCGUUGAAAGAAUUAAGCAUCAGAGGUGACUUCAGGACAACGGUAGAAUAUCUUAUAACUUUGUUGGAAACUGAAGCCUUCCAACAAAACAAUAUCGACACGUCGUGGCUCGACGUGCUUAUAGCGGAGCGUGUUAGAAGCGAUAAGCCAAACGUUUUAUUAGCCGUCACGUGUGGUGCCAUUCAUAUUGCUGAUAGAACUAUCACUGCUGCAUUCACUGAAUUUCAGACGGCCUUGGAGAAGGGUCAAGUACAAGGCAGUAAUGAUUUAAAUAACCUCGUAGAUGUAGAACUAGUGAACGAUGGUUACAAGUACAAAGUUCAAGCAGCUAAGUCAGGUCCUAAUAGUUAUUUCCUCGUUUUAAAUAGUUCCUAUAAAGAAAUCGAAGUUCAUCGACUUUCUGAUGGUGGUUUGUUACUCUCGAUGGAUGGUGCCAGUUAUACGACAUACAUGAAGGAAGAAGUAGAUCGUUAUAGAAUUACUAUAGGUAAUCAAACCUGUGUAUUUGAAAAGGAUAACGACCCGUCUUUACUUAGAUCACCAUCAGCGGGUAAAUUGAUAAAUUUCUUGGUGGAGGAUAGUGGUCACGUCGAUAAGGGACAAGCUUACGCUGAAAUCGAAGUUAUGAAAAUGAUAAUGACGGUAACGACCAGCGAAGCUGGUACAUUGUUCUACGUGAAAAGACCAGGUGCUAUUCUCGAAGCUGGCACUGUUAUAGCUCAUUUAGAACUGGAUGAUCCAUCUUUGGUGACGAAUGCUGAGGAAUAUAGUGGCCAAUUUCCAACGCCAGCGGUACCAGCUAUACCAGACAAAUUGAAUCAUCUUCAUUCCAAAUAUCGGACUGCUUUAGAAAAUACACUAGCUGGUUACUGUUUACCAGAUCCGUAUCAUUUACCACGUUUACGUGAACUCAUCGAAAAGUUCAUGUUCUCCUUACGCGAUCCUAGUUUACCGUUGCUCGAACUUCAAGAAGUAAUAGCUACGAUAUCAGGAAGAAUCCCAGCUUCAGUCGAGAAGAAGAUCAGAAAAUUGAUGUCCUUGUACGAGAGAAACAUAACUUCUGUUCUUGCACAAUUCCCCAGUCAACAGAUCGCAGCUGUCAUUGACGGACACGCUGCUACGCUUUCGAAACGUUCCGAUAGAGAUGUAUUCUUCUUGACUACUCAAGCGAUCGUACAGCUCGUGCAGAGAUAUCGGAAUGGUAUACGUGGUCGAAUGAAAACUGCCGUGCACGAACUCCUUCGUCAAUAUUAUAUGGUCGAGUGUCAAUUUCAACAAGGACAUUACGACAAAUGUGUGUCCGCUCUGAUAGAACAAUACAAGGACGAUUUAAGUACCGUAACUGCCAUGAUUUUUAGUCACAACCAAGUAACUAAAAAGAAUAUAUUAGUGACUAUGCUGAUAGAUCAUCUCUGGGCGAACGAACCUGGCCUCACCGACGAAUUAGCUAGUACUUUAACGGAAUUGACCAGUUUGAACAGAACGGAGCACAGUCGUGUUGCGUUAAGAGCCAGACAGGUAUUGAUAGCUGCUCAUCAACCUGCCUACGAACUCAGACACAAUCAAAUGGAAUCCAUUUUCUUAUCAGCCGUUGAUAUGUACGGGCACGACUUUCAUCCAGAAAAUCUUCAAAAGCUGAUACUCUCCGAGACGUCUAUAUUCGAUAUCCUUCAUGAUUUCUUCUAUCAUUCGAAUCGUGCAGUUUGCAAUGCCGCCUUGGAAGUUUAUGUUCGCAGAGCCUACAUCAGUUACGAGUUAACGUGUUUACAACACUUGGAAUUGUCAGGAGAAAUACCUCUCGUACAUUUCCAAUUCUUGCUCCCUAACAAUCAUCCUAAUCGACAAACCCAAUCGAUUGUUAAUUACAGAACAGGAGCGAUGGCAGCAUUCAAAGACUUCGAUCAAUUUCGCGAAUACUCUGACGAGAUCUUGGACUUGUUGGAAGAUUUGUCGUCGCCGAGUUCAGUAUCUGUUAAAGUCCUAGAGGCCGUAGACGCGAUUGGUAGCGAAUCACGUCACAGUACGUCCAUAAACGUAUCGCUCAGCACUGCGGCGGAAGCUGCAACUGCCGCAGAAUUAGGUGAGAGGCCAGCUGAACCUGUACACAUUUUAAGCAUUGCCAUUCAAGAGAACGGUAAUCAAGACGACGCUACUAUGGCAAGAUUAUUUGGUGACUGGUGUGCAACGAGCAAGGAAGAAUUAAUAUCUCGUGGUAUCAGAAGAGUCACUUUCGCAGCCCUAAAGAAGAAACAGUUUCCAAAAUUCUUUACGUUCAGACAAAGGGACGGAUUCGUCGAGGAUAGAAUUUAUCGACAUCUCGAGCCAGGGUGUGCUUUUCAAUUGGAACUUAAUAGAAUGAGAACAUACGAUCUGGAGGCCUUGCCUACGUCGAAUCAAAAGAUGCACCUGUACCUUGGACAGGCAAAAGUAGCGAAAGGGCAACAAGUUACAGACUAUCGUUUCUUCAUACGCUCUAUUAUUCGUCAUUCCGAUCUUAUAACGAAGGAAGCAAGUUUCGAUUAUCUUCACAACGAAGGAGAGCGCGUGCUGCUCGAAGCUAUGGAUGAGUUGGAAGUGGCCUUUUCGCAUCCUCUAGCUAAACGGACCGAAUGUAAUCAUAUCUUUUUAAAUUUCGUUCCUACGGUGAUAAUGGAUCCUGCCAGAAUAGAGGAAAGUGUUACCAGUAUGGUACUUAGAUAUGGUCCGAGAUUAUGGAAGUUACGUGUUCGCCAGGCCGAAAUCAAAAUGACAAUCCGUCCAGCUCCGGGCAAAUCGACGUCGAAUAUACGCUUGUGUAUCGCCAAUGACAGCGGUUACAGUAUAGAUUUACAUCUUUACGCUGAAUCGACGGAUCCUAAGACAGGUAUCAUUCGUUUUGAAUCUUAUCCACCGCCUGCUGCUAACUUAUCCAAUUGGAGACCUGGCCCUAUGCACGGUUUGCCAAUUUCAACACCGUAUCUCACCAAGGAUUAUCUUCAAGCCAAGAGAUUCCAAGCGCAAAGUGCUGGUACCACUUACGCGUACGACUUGCCUGACAUAUUUCGUCAGCAAGUAGAAAAGUCUUGGCACAAAUAUAUCGAGGAGAGACCAAAUUCGAACAUCACGAUUCCCACGUCUGUGAUGGAUUGCGUUGAGCUAGUACUGGACGGUGACAAUCUCGUUGAACAAAAGCGUUUGCCUGGUGAGAACGACGUAGGCAUGGUAGCUUGGAGAUUAACUCUUUACACGCCUGAGUUCCCGACUGGUCGUGAUAUUAUACUUAUCUCCAACGACCUCACGCAUUUUCUCGGCUCGUUUGGCCCAAUGGAGGACUUCCUAUUUUACAGAGCAUCCGAGAGAGCGAGACAACUUGGUAUUCCGCGUAUUUAUUUCGCCGCGAACGCAGGUGCACGUAUUGGUCUGGCCGAAGAGAUCAAAGGAUUGUUCAAAAUAGCUUGGGAGGAUGAAAGUGAACCUGAAAAGGGAUUCAAGUAUAUAUACUUGACACCAGAUGAUUAUGCUCGUUUAGCACCUUUUAAUUCAGUCAAGGCUUCCUUGAUUGAGGAUCCAGCCGGUGAAUCUCGUUAUAAGAUUACGGACAUCAUUGGCAAAGACGAUGGUAUAGGCGUAGAGAAUUUAAAAUACGCCGGUAUGAUUGCUAGCGAAACGUCCAGAGCUUACGACGAAAUCGUCACCAUCUCUAUCGUUUCGUGCCGCGCUAUUGGUAUCGGUUCUUAUUUGGUGCGUCUUGGUCAGAGAACAAUUCAAAUUGAAAAUUCUCACAUCAUUCUUACUGGUUACCGAGCAUUGAACGCCGUCUUAGGACGCGAAGUGUACGCUAGUAACAAUCAACUAGGGGGUAUUCAAAUUAUGCAUAAUAACGGUGUUACUCAUGCGGUCGAUAGUAGGGAUUUGGAAGGCGUGGCCACAGUUCUGAAAUGGUUGAGUUAUUUCCCCAGGGCAAGGGGUACAAGUUUGCCGAUAUUACCUUCACCUCUCCCCGAUUCUAUCAACCGAGACAUUACUUAUGUACCUACGAAAGCACCUUAUGAUCCAAGGUGGAUGUUAGAAGGUAGAUACUCGCCUAACGAUCAGAAUGUCUGGGAAAGUGGUUUCUUCGAUCGUGGAUCGUGGCAGGAAAUCAUGAAACCUUGGGCACAAACUGUGAUAACAGGUCGAGCAAGAUUAGGUGGUAUACCUUGUGGUGUUAUUGCCGUUGAAACAAGAACCGUCGAACUACAUCUUCCUGCUGAUCCUGCUAAUCUCGAUUCGGAAGCUAAGACAAUAUCACAGGCUGGUCAAGUAUGGUUCCCAGAUAGUGCCUACAAAACUGCACAAGCUAUUCGAGAUUUUAAUAGGGAAGAACUGCCGCUUGUUAUAUUUGCUAACUGGAGAGGAUUUUCCAGUGGCAUGAAAGACAUGUACGAUCAAAUUGUGAAAUUCGGUGCCUAUAUCGUCGACGCGCUAAGAGAAUACACGAAACCUAUAUUUGUAUACAUUCCACCAAACGGUGAACUCAGAGGUGGUGCAUGGGCCGUAGUGGACACUACGAUUAAUCCACGAUACUUAGAAAUGUUUGCUGAUACCACCAGUAGGGGUGGUGUCCUGGAGCCGACUGGUAUCGUAGAAAUAAAAUUUAGAAACAAGGAUAUCGUCAAGACUAUGCAUAGAAUAGAUCCUGUUAUUCAAAAGUUAAAAGAAAAUCUUAAUGCAUCAAAUUCAAUCGAGGAAAAAACGGAAAUCGAAACAGUAAUUCGUAAGAGAGAGAAAACAUUGAUACCGAUAUAUCAACAAGUUGCUGUCUACUUUGCGGAUCUUCACGACACUCCAGAACGAAUGUUAGAGAAAAACGUAAUACAGGAUAUAAUACCAUGGCAAAAGGCAAGGCCGUUGCUUUAUUGGAAAUUAAGACGGAGACUUUUGGAAGAGGAUAUCAAGAAGGAUAUUUUGUCAAUGCAACCUAAGCUCGACGUUAGACAAAUCGGUGCGAUGCUACGACGAUGGUUUAUCGAAGAUAAAGGAGCUACAGAAUCGUACCUUUGGGAUCAGGAUCAAGCGGCUACCACUUGGUUGGAGGCACAGCUUGUUAAUGAAAAUAGCGUUAUAUCACGUAAUAUUAUGUGUGUAAAGAAGGAUGCAGUUAUCACACGUAUCAAAGAAGCUCUCGAAACUUGUCCAGAAGUAAGAUUAGAUGCUGUCCUGGAAAUCGCUCAUAGAUUAAAUCCUGCCGAACGCGCCGAGUUACAAAGGACUUUAUCGCAAAUGGAAGCACCAGAUCAGGAACAUCACAUCGAUUCGAGUUCUUCAUCCUAAUUCGUGAAAAUGUUGUGCAUCUGCGUACCUGGUGUAUGUAGUUUUAUUAGAAGUAAUUAUUUGUACAGACAUUCACGCGAUAUUCUUACUUGUUGAUAGCAAUCAUACAGAAAACUGGGAUUUGACUUCGAUGUACGUCAACAAGAUCAUCAUCUAAGGUAAGUAAAAUCAUAAACGAGAAGAACAUCGCAAAUGCAGACAAGAAGUGCCAAAUAUCGUGUGAAUCGAAAAAGUUUAAUAAUAUGCAAGGCUUAUUAAAAAGACGUGAUUGAGCGGGAGUAAGAUUCCAGGAUAUCGUCUUAUGUAUGAAGAAAUAUAAUGCAGCUGCCCAGAAUAAGACUGCUAAUAUGAUGUACAUUAAUGGUUUAAGUAAGAUUUUUUCUUUAUGGCACAACUGUAAAGAAACAAUUAUUAUGUUACAACAAUUAAGUAAUCACAAAAAAUAUGGAUUAAUGAUCUAAAAAAUUAUUUUCAAUAAUUACCUUCAUUAUUAUAUAAAACAAUGUAUAUAAAAUUAAAUUGGACAUUAAGAUCGCUAAUAAAAAUGUAGCGAAAUUUUUCUCAUGAUAUAGAUUACCAUAUACCGAUAAACCAAUAUUACACAAAUUUGCUACAACAAGCAUUGCAAAUCUUCCAGCGUAAAGUGGCCGGAAUAAAUAUGUUACUCCACAACGUGCGUCGUGUUUUAAUGUCUACAAAACAAAAUACACAAUGAAACAUUUAAAAUGUCAUAA